rnacentral:misc_RNA from 1 species
AAAUAGUGUAUUUUUCAAAAUAUAAAGACUAAAUAAUUAAUUUAAUGAAAAUACAGAGAUUAAAUAAUAAUUUUUCCUUUUCUUUCUUGCUAGCAAACCUUAGCAUGAAACCUAAAACUCAUUUUUAUCAUUAUGGAUUUUCUAUUUGGGUUGUAAAAAAAAGCUCUAUUUUCAUUGUGCAACGUACUAAUCCAUGAAGUAAUACUAUGUUGGGUCAAUUUGCAAACAGGUUUUGCUGAAAUUUGCAAAGUUCCUGCCCCUGAAAAAGAAUGCAUACGGUGACAAAUGCUCAUCUUCUGCCAGGUAAGAAGGGUAUCUUAUUCGGGACCAUGAAAUUUUAU